rnacentral:lncRNA from 1 species
UUUUUUUCUUCCUUUUCCUUGCACUCGUUUUUCUCCACAAUAUUAUGAACUUUAUUAAUUAUAUAGCUAGGAGAAGAAGAAAAAAGGAAUAAUGACAAAGAAGUUAUCCAUAAUCUUGUACUGUUGAUAUAUUAUAUGAUAAGGAGAAGGAGUGAGCAAUCACGGAUCUGGAAUGCUGAGUAUAUUUCGACAGGACUCAUUGACUUGUGGCACGUUGAUGAAUGAAAUGAGAAAUGAAAAAAAUCCAUCGAUAGAAAGAAAUGAAUAUUUAUAGAUGAAUCAUAGACCUUGUCCGAAUAUGGCUCUGGCUCGACUUCCCUCUAAAGCUGCAAAUCACCAAAGAAUCUUACCUGGACAAACUACUUAAGACUAUCUCUAUUCCAAAUGACUAUCACUCUCCAGAAGCCUUUUUUCCCAUUUUGGAACUCUUUCUCUCUCGAUCAUGCUCAAUCAAGAGGGCUAUCUUGUCAACUUUAUUCUGAUCAUUGUUUAUUAGAAAAUACAUCAGCCGUAGAUGAUACAAUUUUUCUUUACUUUAGCGUUGUGGAGUACGACUUUUUAUCUCUUAAUACUAACUUUAUUACUUUUUAUUUGACAUGAUUUUGCAUUUUUUAUUUAUAUGUGUUAUCUAUUUAUAUAUAGUUUAUAGAUAAGCUCUGGAGGAGCCGAUAGUUUGUCUUA